rnacentral:rRNA from 1 species
GGGUUGUGAGGUUAAGCGACUAAGCGUACACGGUGGAUGCCCUGGCAGUCAGAGGCGAUGAAGGACGUGCUAAUCUGCGAUAAGCGUCGGUAAGGUGAUAUGAACCGUUAUAACCGGCGAUUUCCGAAUGGGGAAACCCAGUGUGUUUCGACACACUAUCAUUAACUGAAUCCAUAGGUUAAUGAGGCGAACCGGGGGAACUGAAACAUCUAAGUACCCCGAGGAAAAGAAAUCAACCGAGAUUCCCCCAGUAGCGGCGAGCGAACGGGGAGCAGCCCAGAGCCUGAAUCAGUGUGUGUGUUAGUGGAAGCGUCUGGAAAGGCGCGCGAUACAGGGUGACAGCCCCGUACACAAAAAUGCACAUGCUGUGAGCUCGAUGAGUAGGGCGGGACACGUGGUAUCCUGUCUGAAUAUGGGGGGACCAUCCUCCAAGGCUAAAUACUCCUGACUGACCGAUAGUGAACCAGUACCGUGAGGGAAAGGCGAAAAGAACCCCGGCGAGGGGAGUGAAAAAGAACCUGAAACCGUGUACGUACAAGCAGUGGGAGCACGCUUAGGCGUGUGACUGCGUACCUUUUGUAUAAUGGGUCAGCGACUUAUAUUCUGUAGCAAGGUUAACCGAAUAGGGGAGCCGAAGGGAAACCGAGUCUUAACUGGGCGUUAAGUUGCAGGGUAUAGACCCGAAACCCGGUGAUCUAGCCAUGGGCAGGUUGAAGGUUGGGUAACACUAACUGGAGGACCGAACCGACUAAUGUUGAAAAAUUAGCGGAUGACUUGUGGCUGGGGGUGAAAGGCCAAUCAAACCGGGAGAUAGCUGGUUCUCCCCGAAAGCUAUUUAGGUAGCGCCUCGUGAAUUCAUCUCCGGGGGUAGAGCACUGUUUCGGCAAGGGGGUCAUCCCGACUUACCAACCCGAUGCAAACUGCGAAUACCGGAGAAUGUUAUCACGGGAGACACACGGCGGGUGCUAACGUCCGUCGUGAAGAGGGAAACAACCCAGACCGCCAGCUAAGGUCCCAAAGUCAUGGUUAAGUGGGAAACGAUGUGGGAAGGCCCAGACAGCCAGGAUGUUGGCUUAGAAGCAGCCAUCAUUUAAAGAAAGCGUAAUAGCUCACUGGUCGAGUCGGCCUGCGCGGAAGAUGUAACGGGGCUAAACCAUGCACCGAAGCUGCGGCAGCGACGCUUAUGCGUUGUUGGGUAGGGGAGCGUUCUGUAAGCCUGCGAAGGUGUGCUGUGAGGCAUGCUGGAGGUAUCAGAAGUGCGAAUGCUGACAUAAGUAACGAUAAAGCGGGUGAAAAGCCCGCUCGCCGGAAGACCAAGGGUUCCUGUCCAACGUUAAUCGGGGCAGGGUGAGUCGACCCCUAAGGCGAGGCCGAAAGGCGUAGUCGAUGGGAAACAGGUUAAUAUUCCUGUACUUGGUGUUACUGCGAAGGGGGGACGGAGAAGGCUAUGUUGGCCGGGCGACGGUUGUCCCGGUUUAAGCGUGUAGGCUGGUUUUCCAGGCAAAUCCGGAAAAUCAAGGCUGAGGCGUGAUGACGAGGCACUACGGUGCUGAAGCAACAAAUGCCCUGCUUCCAGGAAAAGCCUCUAAGCAUCAGGUAACAUCAAAUCGUACCCCAAACCGACACAGGUGGUCAGGUAGAGAAUACCAAGGCGCUUGAGAGAACUCGGGUGAAGGAACUAGGCAAAAUGGUGCCGUAACUUCGGGAGAAGGCACGCUGAUAUGUAGGUGAAGUCCCUUGCGGAUGGAGCUGAAAUCAGUCGAAGAUACCAGCUGGCUGCAACUGUUUAUUAAAAACACAGCACUGUGCAAACACGAAAGUGGACGUAUACGGUGUGACGCCUGCCCGGUGCCGGAAGGUUAAUUGAUGGGGUCAGCGCAAGCGAAGCUCUUGAUCGAAGCCCCGGUAAACGGCGGCCGUAACUAUAACGGUCCUAAGGUAGCGAAAUUCCUUGUCGGGUAAGUUCCGACCUGCACGAAUGGCGUAAUGAUGGCCAGGCUGUCUCCACCCGAGACUCAGUGAAAUUGAACUCGCUGUGAAGAUGCAGUGUACCCGCGGCAAGACGGAAAGACCCCGUGAACCUUUACUAUAGCUUGACACUGAACAUUGAGCCUUGAUGUGUAGGAUAGGUGGGAGGCUUGGAAGUGUGGACGCCAGUCUGCAUGGAGCCGACCUUGAAAUACCACCCUUUAAUGUUUGAUGUUCUAACGUUGACCCGUAAUCCGGGUUGCGGACAGUGUCUGGUGGGUAGUUUGACUGGGGCGGUCUCCUCCUAAAGAGUAACGGAGGAGCACGAAGGUUGGCUAAUCCUGGUCGGACAUCAGGAGGUUAGUGCAAUGGCAUAAGCCAGCUUGACUGCGAGCGUGACGGCGCGAGCAGGUGCGAAAGCAGGUCAUAGUGAUCCGGUGGUUCUGAAUGGAAGGGCCAUCGCUCAACGGAUAAAAGGUACUCCGGGGAUAACAGGCUGAUACCGCCCAAGAGUUCAUAUCGACGGCGGUGUUUGGCACCUCGAUGUCGGCUCAUCACAUCCUGGGGCUGAAGUAGGUCCCAAGGGUAUGGCUGUUCGCCAUUUAAAGUGGUACGCGAGCUGGGUUUAGAACGUCGUGAGACAGUUCGGUCCCUAUCUGCCGUGGGCGCUGGAGAACUGAGGGGGGCUGCUCCUAGUACGAGAGGACCGGAGUGGACGCAUCACUGGUGUUCGGGUUGUCAUGCCAAUGGCACUGCCCGGUAGCUAAAUGCGGAAGAGAUAAGUGCUGAAAGCAUCUAAGCACGAAACUUGCCCCGAGAUGAGUUCUCCCUGACCCUUUAAGGGUCCUGAAGGAACGUUGAAGACGACGACGUUGAUAGGCCGGGUGUGUAAGCGCAGCGAUGCGUUGAGCUAACCGGUACUAAUGAACCGUGAGGCUUAACCUUACAACGCCGAAGCUGUU